AGUUGAGAUUGGGCAAAAGAGAGCCAGUGAAGGACACAAGUUCAGGUUCACCACCCAAGAAAUCUCCAGGCGGACCAAAAGGGAUGCCAGACAGAUUUAUAAUCCUCCCAGUGGAAAGUACAGCAGCAAUUUGGGCAACUUUAUUAUGAGCAGAGAGGAGCCUUCAGGGGAAGUAGAGGAGGCCGUGGUUGGGGAACACGAGGAAAUCGUAGUCGAGGAAGACUCUACUGAGUGCAACAUCACAUUCUUCAGCAUUGUCAUGAGCUUAAUAUUCUUAAAUCUACUACUCAUUGGAUUGCCGGGGAUGUCCCUUUAACAGGACUGCUGCCUUCAGCUGAAAACGUAAUGUUCUUUCUACCUUUGUAUGUAUGAUCUACUUUUGUAACAGACCAUGGUUGUGUCCAAGGUAAAACCACAACAAUAUUUUUGGAUGCUUUAUCUGCAGCCUUGACUUCUUUCCAAAAUAGCCUCAUUAUUAGACUUCAUCUUGUGAAUCUUGCUUUUAAACAUCUUCAUAAUUUGUUACUAAGAACUGAAUCUAAUGAAAAAUUCAGUCUAGCUCAUGAUCUGGUAAAGCCAAUCACUUUUGAAAGGUUACUUAUUUUCCUCCCCAUUCUGUUCCAGUUUUUUGCCCAACACAUGGAGAAGAGUAAUAAUCAGUCUUAACCUUUUGCUUUCAUUGAUUUCUAAUGAAACUGCUAGGCAGUGUGUAGCAUUCCUACUAGGACUCAUAGAAGUUAAACACUUCUUACAGUGUACAAGUGACAUUAGGUUUUUAGGAAGCAUUAAGUUUUGCAUUGCUUCCUUCACUCUUCUCCAUUUUUUGGGCUACAGCUUUUGAACACAGGGUCUUAUUAUUUGAAUAGGAGUACAUGUGCAUAAUAUACAUAAAACAUAAGCAUAUGUCGUGUGUAUAUGUGCGUGCCAUGGAACUUGAGUGUACAACAAAUCACUAUUUUAAAUUCUAGGAAUGGGUCAUCUGACACAGUGAUUAUCCUUUUAAGGCUGAAAUGAAUCCAUUACUGACUUGGUAUCCAGGUUUUCAAUCCAGUAGGGAGGAAUUUGAGUCAGUCAUACUUACAUGAUUAAAAUUGUUUAAAACUAAAAACAUAGGUUGUUUUUUUCAGAGACAAAUUUGAAGACCUUGUUGGUGAAAUAUAGCCAGAUCUGGUGUACAUACAGGUUCUCACAGGAUGGAUAGUAUUAUUUAGGAUUUGGAAACUUAACCAGGGCUACCCAGGAAAGUGACUUGAUGACAUACUAUCAUUAAAUGAGAGAUGCUCACUCAGUUUGCUUUUGCCACUUUCAAAAUUUAACUUCUCAGGUUAUUGAUCAGAUUAUUCUAUAAGUUAGCCAGUAGUCUUUAGAUUAAAACAACAGAUGGGAGGUUUGUGGAGUGCCUCAUGUCGUGGGCAUUUUUAGUGGCUCAGACCCUUUGUUCUUCAUUUGAAUGUUUUCAUAUAUUUUUGUUCCAGUUAAUCUUCCUCUCUAAAUUUGCUAUUCAAAAUCAGAUAUUCAGAUUCAUUGCUAGUAGUUUUGUUGUUGUUUGUUUUUUUUUUUUUUUUUUUUUUUGUUUUUUUUUUUUGAGGUUUCGAUUCUUACACAGGUGUCCUCAUUACCAUUACUUCUACACUGGGAAAAAAGCAAAACCCCUUUGUGAGAAUUACUGCAUAUAAUUUAUGGAGAAAAUGUUUCUAGAAGUCUAGAUGAUACAAGUGUAGCACAACAAGUUGGUCAGCUGACUAUGGAGUGCUGGCAAUAAUCUCUGAACAUUCCACAUGAUUGAGCUGACCUAGGCCUCCCUUGGAAUCUGAACAGACGUAGGAACAUGGGAUUGCCAGUUGAAAACUGACCAUCUAGUAUGGACCUCAGAUACAUGAGCCAUGGUCUAACACCAUUUUGAGUACAAAAAUGAAUUGGACUACAGCAAUAUAAUUUUGAACAUGGUGUAGUUUUCCUUUCUCUUGUCUGAGUGUAUUUGUAAACUCAGCAGAAAUAACUUGACCUCAUGUCUGAUGCAGAGCUCACUGUAUUCCUCCCUCUUCCCUUUGUUCCCCUUCCCUUUCCUAGGCAAUAGUGCAUAACUUACUGUUCUUUUGCUUCAGAGAUUUGAAUGAAAAUCUUCAUGCCAUAAAUAUGGUUUUUUUUCUUCAAGACACCUGUUUAUCCCCUUGUUUAAAUGUAAAUGUUCCCUUAUGCUUUUGAAAUAAAUUUUCUUUUGUAAUUUU